GGAAGUAAAAGUCGAAACAAGGUUUCCGUAGGUGAACCUGCGGAAGGAUCAUUCAUAAUAAAGUGUUUUAUGGCACUUUUUAAAAAUCCAUAUCCACCUUGUGUGCAAUGUUAAGUCUCUCGUUCAAGACAGUUUCGACUGUUCUUGGGCAGGGUCUUUAUAUAUCGACUCUUUCUUAAACCAAUUUGUCUGAAAAAUAUUAUGAAUACUUAAUUCAAAAUACAACUUUCAACAACGGAUCUCUUGGCUCUC
rnacentral:misc_RNA from 1 species